rnacentral:rRNA from 1 species
GAUGAACGCUGGCGGCGUGCCUAAUACAUGCAAGUCGAGCGAACAGAUGAGGAGCUUGCUCCUCUGACGUUAGCGGCGGACGGGUGAGUAACACGUGGAUAACCUACCUAUAAGACUGGGAUAACUUCGGGAAACCGGAGCUAAUACCGGAUAAUAUAUUGAACCGCAUGGUUCAAUAGUGAAAGACGGUUUUGCUGUCACUUAUAGAUGGAUCCGCGCCGCAUUAGCUAGUUGGUAAGGUAACGGCUUACCAAGGCGACGAUGCGUAGCCGACCUGAGAGGGUGAUCGGCCACACUGGAACUGAGACACGGUCCAGACUCCUACGGGAGGCAGCAGUAGGGAGUCUUCCGCAAUGGGCGAAAGCCUGACGGAGCAACGCCGCGUGAGUGAUGAAGGUCUUCGGAUCGUAAAACUCUGUUAUUAGGGAAGAACAAAUGUGUAAGUAACUAUGCACGUCUUGACGGUACCUAAUCAGAAAGCCACGGCUAACUACGUG